rnacentral:tRNA from 1 species
GCGCCCGUAGCUCAGUUGGAUUAGAGCGUCUGACUACGGAUCAGAAGGUCGGGAGUUCGAGUCUCUCCGGGCGUGCCA